UUGCGGGGACCAUCCCGUAAGGCUAAAUACCAAUAGAAGACCGAUAGUGAACCAGUACUGUGAAGGAAAGGUGAAAAGUACCCCGAACAGGGGGGUGAAAAAGAACCUGAAACUGUCCGCUUACAAGCGGUCGGAGCCACUUUGUGUGGUGACGGCGUGCCUUUUGCAUAAUGAGCCUACGAGUUACAUCUCACUAGCGAGGUUAAGGAUUUAAGGUCCGGAGCCGAAGCGAAAGCGAGUCUGAACAGGGCGGUUUAGUUAGUGGGAGUAGACGCGAAACCUUGUGAUCUACCCUUGACCAGGUUGAAGGUGCCGUAACAGGUACUGGAGGACCGAACCAGUUUCCGUUGAAAAGGAUUUGGAUGAGUUGAGGGUAGGGGUGAAAGGCUAAUCAAACUGGGAGAUAGCUCGUACUCCCCGAAAUGUCUUUUGGGACAGCCUCAUAGUUUAGCUUCAUGGAGGUAGAGCUACUGAUUGGAUGCGAGGGCUUCAUCGCCUAUCAAAUCCAGACAAACUCCGAAUGCCGUGAAGUGUAUCUAUGGGAGUGAGUCGCCGGGUGCUAAUGUCCGGUGGCGAGAGGGAAAUAGCCCAGACCAACAGCUAAGGCCCCCAAACGUGUGUUAAGUUGAAAGAACGAUGUUCGGUUGCAUAGACAGCUAGGAUGUUAGCUUGGAAGCAGCUAUUCAUUUAAAGAGUGCGUAACAGCUCACUAGUCGAGCGACUGAGCGUGGAUAAUAAACGGGCAUCAAGCACACUGCCGAAGCUAUGGACUUCAUGUAAAUGGAGUGGUAGGGGAGCAUUCUAGUCGGCGCAGAAGGGGUAUUGUGAGAUACCCUGGAGCGGUUAGAAAAGCAAAUGUAGGCAUAAGUAACGAUAAUGCAGGCGAGAAACCUGCACACCGAAAACCCAAGGGUUCCUGAUCAAUGCUAAUCAGAUCAGGGUUAGUCGGGACCUAAGGCGUAGCCGAAAGGCGAAGCUGAUGGACAAAUGGUUAAUAUUCCAUUACCUGUAUAUUAGGCGAAGGAGAGACGGAGUAGUGACACGCACGCGGCCUGACGGAAUAGGUCGUUAAAGUCCGUAGGUAAAGGGUUUGGUUAAUAGCCGGACACUGCUGAUGGACGACAGUACCGCAAGGCUUCGGCUGCGCGGAUAGUUGCGGUAAACAGACUUCCAAGAAAAACUUCUAGCGAUAAGCAAUAUACAGCCCGUACCGUAAACCGACACAGGUGGGUGAGGAGAGGAUCCUUAGGUGCUCGAGUGAAUCAUGGCUAAGGAACUCGGCAAAUUAACCCCGUAACUUCGGGACAAGGGGUCCCUCGUGUGAACGAGGGCGCAGAGAAAUGGCCCAGGCGACUGUUUAACAAAAACACAUGGCUUUGCUAAAUCGCAAGAUGAAGAAUAAGGCCUGACACCUGCCCGGUGCCGGAAGGUUAAGAGGGGAUGUUAUUCGCAAGGAGAAGCAUUGAAUCGAAGCCCCGGUAAACGGCGGCCGUAACUAUAACGGUCCUAAGGUAGCGAAAUUCCUUGUCGGGUAAGUUCCGACCUG
rnacentral:rRNA from 1 species